AGCAAGAGAAGGUUUAGAUUUCUUCAGGUCCUUACCAAUAUCUGUCAUUGGUAUUUAUUAUUAUCUGACAUUCAUAACUGUAGCCAUCCUAGCAAGAGUGAAGAAGUGUCAUAGUGUGUGUGUGUGUGUGUGUGUGUGUGUGUGUAUGUUUUCUCUUUGCAGUGCUA
rnacentral:sRNA from 1 species